rnacentral:rRNA from 1 species
AGUGAACGCUGGCGGCGUGCUUAACACAUGCAAGUCGAACGAGAACGGGAUAUAGCUUGCUAUAUUUGUCAGCUAAGUGGCGCACGGGUGAGUAAUGUAUAGAUAACCUGCCCUUAAGAAAGGAAUAACAGUUGGAAACGACUGCUAAUGCCCUAUAUGCCUUUAAUACAUAAGUAUGCAAGGGAAACGCUUUAGUGCUGAAGGAUGGGUCUGUAUGGUAUCAGCUUGUUGGUGAGGUAAUGGCUCACCAAGGCUAUGACGCCUAACUGGUUUGAGAGGAUGAUCAGUCACACUGGAACUGAGACACGGUCCAGACUCCUACGGGAGGCAGCAGUGGGGAAUAUUGCACAAUGGACGAAAGUCUGAUGCAGCAACGCCGCGUGGAGGAUGACACAUUUCGGUGCGUAAACUCCUUUUAUAUAGGAAGAUAAUGACGGUACUAUAUGAAUAAGCACCGGCUAACUCCGUGCCAGCAGCCGCCGUAA